rnacentral:rRNA from 1 species
UACGGAGGGUGCAAGCGUUGUUCGGAAUUACUGGGCGUAAAGGGCGCGUAGGCGGCCUUCUAAGUCGGACGUGAAAUCCCUCGGCUUAACCGAGGAACUGCGUCCGAUACUGAAAGGCUUGAAUCCGGGAGAGGGAUGUGGAAUUCCAGGUGUAGCGGUGAAAUGCGUAGAUAUCUGGAGGAACACCGGUGGCGAAGGCGGCAUCCUGGACCGGCAUUGACGCUGAGGCGCGAAAGCUAGGGGGAGCAAACGGG